UGAACAACAAUUACUUAAGAUCCUUGCACUGGGAUCCACUUGUCAAGGAACCUACUCUUUUUUUAUUUUUUCCUUUAAUGGCAUAUUAUGCAUUGCAUAGCUUUUUAUGCUAAAACAAAGAAAUGGAUCCAAACUACAGACCCCAAAGAACUAAAGAAAAAAAAAACCAAUCCACCACCCAUACAACAACCCGACCCAAUAAAAAAAAAUACCCAAGCAGUUCCUCUAACUGCGCUGCCAUCAGCGUUACCCAAUGAAACUCUUCAGAAACUGCCAUAACCAAACAAAGGCCAUCAGCUCAUAAGCACUUUUGAUUAUUAACAAACGUUGCAGAAAGACUGAAUAAAGGAGAUGUUUCAACAAGGUCUAGGAGAAACUCUUUAAACUCUGAACAUUCACAGCUCGAGGAGGGCGUUGGAGUUACACUCACUAGCCUUGCUGACGCUAAAAGCAUAAGGGAAGCCAAUUCCACCACUAGCGCAGUAACGCAAACAAGCAAGAUCUCCAUUGAGCCAAAAACUGUUGAACCCAAGUCCAUAAAUGUCGCCCACAAAGCAAAAUAACACCCCUCAACAUGAAAGCAUCAACAGCCGUACACGAGAAAUGAGAUUCAAAAUCAAAGAGCCAAAACUACCGAUCAAGGAAC
rnacentral:lncRNA from 1 species